rnacentral:rRNA from 1 species
GACGAACGCUGGCGGCGUGCUUAACACAUGCAAGUCGAACGAUGAAGCCCUUCGGGGUGGAUUAGUGGCGAACGGGUGAGUAACACGUGGGCAAUCUGCCCUUCACUCUGGGACAAGCCCUGGAAACGGGGUCUAAUCCCGGAUAUCACUCUCGCAGGCAUCUGUGAGGGUCGAAAGCUCCGGCGGUGAAGGAUGAGCCCGCGGCCUCGCAGCUUGUUGGUGAGGUAAUGGCUCACCAAGGCGACGACGGGUAGCCGGCCUGAGAGGGCGACCGGCCACACUGGGACUGAGACACGGCCCAGACUCCUACGGGAGGCAGCAGUGGGAAUAUUGCACAAUGGGCGAAAGCCUGAUGCAGCGACGCCGCGUGAGGGAUGACGGCCUUCGGGUUGUAAACCUCUUUCAGCAGGGAAGAAGCGAAAGUGACGGUACCUGCAGAAGAAGCGCCGGCUAACUACGUGCCAGUAGCCGCCGUAA